CUCAGCCUCCCAAAGUGCUGGAUUACAAGCAUGAGCCACUGUGCCCAGCCUUAAGUUUUUUUCAUACAGGAGGAAAGAAUUUGGAAAAUAAACACAAUCUGGGAAACAUUUUAUAAUACAGAGGGCCACACCAGAUUGAAUAUUGCCCCCAGGAAUGAAAUGAAAACAGGAAUGGAUUCUCCAGUAAGAGGGUAUCACAGGGCGUCAAACUGGAAAAUGUGGCACUGCCUGGAGUUUCUACCUGGUGAAGGGUGGCAGACUUUUCUCUUCAGAGGACUCUUGACAGGGUAGCAUCCAUUAUCUUGCCAAUUUACUACAACCUAGGCCCAAUCCUCAGUCUUAUAGGUUCAGAAAUUUAUUUUUAUCAGCAUCAACAGGGUAGCUACAUUGCUUAGAAGCAAACAAAAUUAACCAUGCUUCAAUAGAAAUCAGGAUAUAGAUGUAUUAAUACAGAAUGACAAAUAUAACUGUGACAGAAAUAGGAAUGCCUGUUUAUGGUCAUAUACGGCCAAUACUUUCAUUACAGCCAAACUCAUAUAUGCAGCCAAAUAAGAGGCCCCUGGAUACACAGGGAAUCAGAAUAAAAAAAGAAGAACUGAACAUUUAAUAGUCUUCUUUCAUUCAAUCAAUAAUUUUUUUUAAUUAAGCAACUACUAUGUCUGGGUAACCUUCUAGGUCCUGGGGAUACAGAGGUCUCUGCUUACAGAAGUCAUAUGUAAGUAGCAGGUGAAGAGUAUGUGUUUCACAGAAGUUUAUUACAAUAUAUUAACAAGAGCAAAAAAUUUUGGAAGCAAUCUAAAUGUUCAAUAAUAGAGCUCCAAUUAAAUAACAAUAAAUCCAAAUAAUGAAAAAUAAUGCAGCCCUUUAAGAAUAAGCACUUGCAAGCCGUAAUUCAUGACAUGGGAAAAUUAUCAUAAUGGAAAAAGAAGCAAGCUAUAUACAGUGCAUGAUCCUAUACACACACAUACAUACAUACAUAUUUCCUAUCCCUUUAUAUGCAUAAGAAAACAAGCGGGAGGAAAGUCGUAUCUUUAGUCAAGUCUUGUUUACUAACGUACUAUUAAUGAUUAUCUUUUCUUUUUCUUUAUACCUUUUUGCAUUUUUCAAUUUCCUAAAAUAGCCUUACAUGCCUUUUAUCACCAGGAGAAAAAUUACUUCUAAAGUAAUUUCAGUCAACAUGCAUACUAAGAACUCUUCAGAUUUAUCUGUUAGAAGCUGUGCAUGAAUGCCAGUCCUUGCAUCUGUCUUGGAACUCACAGAGAGCUCUUUUCCCAUGGCUUUAAGCAAUACUCAAAAAGACUAGCAUACCUGAAUUUCCUAGUCCUAUGUUUUUUUCAUCCAACAGCCAGUCUUGUAUUUCUAGCUGUUUUCUAAACAUUUCAACCAAACCAUUUUACAGAUAACUCAUACAGUCAUCCUUUGAUAUGCAUGGGGAAUUGGUUCCAGGAUCCCCCUUGUAUACCAAAAUCCAUGGAUGCUCAAGUUACUGGUAUAAAAUAGUGUAGUAUUUGCAUAUAACCUACACACAUCCUCCUAUAUACUUUAAAUAAUCUCUAGAUUACUUAAUAACAAUUAAUACGAUGUAAAUGCUACGUAAAUAGUUGGUAUACCAUGUUGUUUUUUAUUUGUAUCAUUUUUUAUCGUUGUAUUGUUUUUUCUGACAAUUUUGUUCCACAGUUGUUUGAAUCAGUGGAUGCAGAACCCAUGAAUAUGGAGAGUCAAUUGCAUUUUAUUAUGCCCAAAGGUAAAUGCAUAAUUUUUCCACACAGCUAAUCUUCUAGCAACCCCAUUGCUGUCCAUGGCAAACAGGCUUAGUUAAUCUCGCCCUUUCCCGUUUCAGGUUCAUUAUACACCAUGGAAUACUAUGCAGCCAUAAAAAAUGAUGAGUUCAUGUCCUUACUAGGGACAUGGAUGAAGCUGGAAACCAUCAUUCUCAGCAAACUAUCGCAAGGACAAAAAACCAAACACCGCAUGUUCUCACUCAUAGGUGGGAAUUGAACAAUGAGAACACUUGGACACAGGAAGGGGAACAUCACACACCAGGGCCUGUUGUGGGGUGGGGGGAGGGGGGAGAGAUAGCAUUAGGAGAUAUGCCUAACAUAAAUGAUGAGUUAAUGGGUGCAGCACACCAACAUGGCACACGUAUACAUAUGCAACAAACCUGCACAUUGUUCAUGUGUACCCUAGAAUUUAAAGUAUAAAAAAAAUAAAAAAAUAAAGAAAGAAAUAGAUGUUCUGUAAAAAUAUACACAAUUUUUACAGACAAAUACAUUUAUAAGUUGUUUUUAUCUUAAAAAUUGGGGAUAUUUCAUAUUUAUAACUAAAUAUUGAGCCUUAAGUUUUCUUGGCCAUUUCUAGGCUAAUAAACUAAGAAUCAUGUAAACUAAGCCAAAGUAGAAUAGACAUAAAAGUCCUGAACACUUCAACUUCCUAUCCUUCAAGAAGUAUACCUCGCAAAGCUCAUUUGAGAGAGGAAAAGCUUUCCUCCACCCUCGGUUUUACAGUGCUGAGGCUUCUCAUCACAUUUCUAUGACUUGUAGCUUAAAUCCAUGUUACAUGGUCACUGGCAUUGUUAGUGCUUCUCUUUUAACACUGUAGGAAUUAAUCAAUUUGGUGGCAUAUUUAAUUAAUUCUAUCACUAGAGGAUUGUAAAAUUACAUAUAUGAAUACCUCACUUUAGAGGCCACUUAAUUUUUUUCCAAGGGGAUAUUUGACUAUAUUUCACUUGUGUCUUAUUUAAUGAUUUUAUAAUUUAAACCCUAAAUUAUAAAUCUAGAAUUUAGAAAGUAUAUUUCCCCACUGGAUUACAUUUUUGGAAAUAUUACUUUAUAUGUGCACAAAUAUUACAAAAUCACUGUAGACACCUGAAAACUAUAUUAUCUUUUAAAGACAAUAUUUACAUUAAACUGGUAUAACAAAAUUGUUUGGUGCAUUUUUUCCAGUACAUUUUGUGUAUAUUACAUGUUUAACCUUUUUUUAUUCAGCAAAUAAUUUUUGAGUAUCUACUAAGUGCUAGGUUCUGCAUUACUAACUGAAUUUAAAGAGUGAAAUAACAGACAUGGUCUCAGACAAUAAAAAUUAACAUUAGGUCACUUAUUUAUAUAUUUUUAAAUGGUAAUUAUGAAAACUUUUUGAGAUUUUUAACUAGAUAACAUUAUAAUAACGCACUUGAUGUUGUUAAUAGUUGCCAGUGAGCAAAAAAGAAAAUAAAAAGAUGGUUUUAUUCAAUAUACACUUUAAAAUUGCAGAAAAUAGUCAAGUUUCUCUGCUUUGCAGUUGAAUGUCUAUGUGUUUUUCUCUGCAACUUGGCUUUUGUGGAGUGAAACAAUUAUUCUUCCAGCCCAAUGAAGGCAGACGAGUAACAAUAAAUCUAAUAUUUUAAAUGCUUAUCAAAAGAUAGUAAACACAUUAUUUCAGAAUACUGAGUUCAAUAAGUUGACCUACAAAAAAAGCCAAACUGACAGUAUUACUGAAUAAGGAAAGGCCCAAAGAGACAAAAUACUUUUUAUUUUGUAACCUCGGUAUGACACAACUUACCCUAACUAUAAAGACCCUAAAUUACCAAGAUGGGUGCUUAUAAUAUGGAGAGUUACAAAGUCAUUUCACUUUUAGCUUUUUUAUUUCUCUCAGAAUAAAAAGUGUAUAAGGAGUUGAUAAAGAAGUUGAUACUAUAAGUUAGUACUACAAUGACAGCACUUUUCAAGAAAAGACUUUUUUCUCUCUUACAAAUAUCAUGUUAGCAGUAUUUGUUUUCUCCAGAAAUAAUGAGUAAAUAAAAACAUAAGUAUGUGGGUAAUUAGUGUAGUUUCUUAAAUAAAUGAGUUAGGCAACAGGCUAAUAAUGUAUAUUUCACUGGCUUUUCAAUGCCAACAAUCAUAUUCUUUAUAAGGCACAGAGAAGAUUUUUCUAAAGAAUAAGUAUGUGAACCUGAAAAGUAAUCACCACUUGGUAGUGACAAUAUGGAUAGGGUGAAGGGCGUCACCAAGAAGCAAUGAAAAGAUACAUUUGCAGUUAAAUUUGAAAACCAUGAUGUUUAAUACAUAUAGUAAUAAAGAAUACUUUCUCCUGUCUCAAAAUUAUUUUAGAAUUUAAGAUAGAAGCUAAAAUACCUAGGGAUAAUGAUAUGACUAUCAAAAAUUAAAAAUUAAAGGAUAUUUUGAGUAUUAUAAAUUAAGAAUGAGAACUUAUUACCCAAUGAACAGGGGAUAAUUCAUUAUGCUCCAUAUCCAUUGAAUUAAAAGACAGGCCCAUUACCUGGAUAAUUUGAAAGUUUAAUUUUAUUUAAAAGUCUUGUUUCAUUCAUCAAGCUAAAGGAUUAGCUCCCAGAAAUAUUCCAGGAUUGCAUAUCCCCAACUCUGUAGGAAGUAUAGAAAGAAUGUUAUAAGGGUCACCAUCUAAACAUUAUUAUAUAAAUAAUUUAGUACCAUUCCAUUUGCCUUUGUAGAUUUAAAAAUGUAAAUGGCUUUCUCAUAUUAGGAAACAUCACUUUUCAAAACCCAGGUAAACAUAGUAUAUUGCAAGAGAAUAAUUAUUUUCUUUAUUAAAAAAGAAAUACUGGAUGCUAAGUCCAAAAGACAUAAAUUAUUUUAUACUAAUAACUACUAAUAUUUUAUUCAUUAAAAUAUAAAGGUCAAAGAUUUCAAAAUGAUCUUUAAAUGAUUAAUAACAUGUUGAUCUUUUUCUUCUUUCUGUAAACCUUUUUGAGUCUUAACAAUACUAAACUAUACAAGCAAUAUUAAAUAGUAUAUAAACUUGGAUUAAAAUAUUCAAAUUUACUAGAAUGUGGACAUUGGAAAGAAUGAAAAUAAACAGAAGCAUAAAGCAGCAGAUAUAAAAUUAAGAAAGCAACUAAGAGUGUUUAAAGUGCAUAUUCAUCUGUAGUCUAAUGUCUACCAUAAACAAUGACUCUUCUCAGUAAAACACAAAUUGUUCAUGAAGGGAAAAAGCAUGUUGUAUUGGAGCAUAUUCAACAUAAUUUUUUUAGUACUAACUUGUGCCUGGAGUAUUAUUGGUUUUUCUAUUAUGAACUUAUGCACUUGAUAAUUUUUUUCAUCAAAAU